AAAGUCUGGUAGAAAUAAAUUUAUCACGCGUUACGACAAAGCCAAAUCUGUAGUUUGAUGUCGCGUGACAUUUUCAUGUUUAGCGGUUUUUUAGACGCGGAACGUAGCGAGGCGACGAAUCCAUUGGUUUUAGUGUACAGUGGGUUGUGCGGUUGUUUUUUUUUUCUCUGUGUGUAAAUAACUUUUCGAACCGAAAACUUGCUACAAAAUGUCAACCGUAACCAGCGGCGUGCCCGGAUGGGGAGGUUAGGGGUUAUGUCUCACCCACCACCCCCAUUGGCUUAAAAAAUACUAUCUA